UACAGAGGGGGCAAGCGUUAUUCGGAAUUACUGGGCGUAAAGGGCUCGUAGGUGGUCAACUAAGUCGGACGUGAAAUCCCUCGGCUUAACCGGGGAACUGCGUCCGAUACUGGAUGACUUGAGUUCGGGAGAGGGAUGCGGAAUUCCAGGUGUAGCGGUGAAAUGCGUAGAUAUCUGGAGGAACACCGGUGGCGAAGGCGGCAUCCUGGACCGACACUGACGCUGAGGCGCGAAAGCUAGGGGAGCAAACAGG
rnacentral:rRNA from 1 species